AUUGAACGCUGGCGGCAUGCUUUACACAUGCAAGUCGAACGGUAACAGGCCGCAAGGUGCUGACGAGUGGCGAACGGGUGAGUAAUGCAUCGGAACGUGCCGAGCAGUGGGGGAUAACGCAGCGAAAGUUGUGCUAAUACCGCAUACGUACUGAGGUAGAAAGGGGGGGACCUUCGGGCCUCACUCUAUUCGAGCGGCCGACGUCUGAUUAGCUAGUAGGUGAGGUAAAGGCUCACCUAGGCGACGAUCAGUAGCGGGUCUGAGAGGAUGAUCCGCCACACUGGGACUGAGACACGGCCCAGACUCCUACGGGAGGCAGCAGUGGGGAAUUUUGGACAAUGGGCGAAAGUCUGAUCCAGCCAUGCCGCGUGUCUGAAGAAGGCCUUCGGGUUGUAAAGGACUUUUGUCGGGGAGGAAAUCCCCAGCGCUAAUACCGCUGGGGGAUGACAGUACCUGAAGAAUAAGCACCGGCUAACUACGUGCCAGCAGCCGCGGUAAUAC
rnacentral:rRNA from 1 species